rnacentral:rRNA from 1 species
CCGCAAUGGGCGAAAGCCUGACGGAGCAAUACCGCGUGAGGGAGGAAGGCUCUUGGGUUGUAAACCUCUUUUCUCAGGGAAGAAGAAAUGACGGUACCUGAGGAAUAAGCAUCGGCUAACUCCGUGCCAGCAGCCGCGGUAAUACGGAGGAUGCAAGCGUUAUCCGGAAUGAUUGGGCGUAAAGGGUCCGCAGGUGGCAUUGAAAGUCUGCUGUUAAAGAGUCUAGCUCAACUAGAUAAGAGCAGUGGAAACUACAAAGCUAGAGUUUGGUCGGGGCAGAAGGAAUUCCUGGUGUAGCGGUGAAAUGCGUAGAUAUCAGGAAGAACACCAGUGGCGAAGGCGUUCUGCUAGGCCGAGACUGACACUGAGGGACGAAAGCUAGGGGAGCGAAUGGGAUUAGAUACCCCAGUAGUC